rnacentral:rRNA from 1 species
CUUUACUACAACUUUGCAGUGGUAUUAGAGAUCGCAUGUGUAGCAUAGGUGGGACUCUUUGAAGCUUGGGCGCCAGCCUGAGUGGAGAGGUCAGUGAAAUACCACCCUUGUGAUCUUUGAUAUCUAACUGAGCCCGGUGAAUCACGGGCCAGGACCCUGCAUGGCGGGUAGUUUGACUGGGGCGGUCGCCUCCCAAAUUGUAACGGAGGCGCGCGAUGGUUAGCUCAAUCUGGUCGGAAAUCAGAUGUUGAGUGCAAUGGCACAAGCUAGCCUGACUGCAAGACGUACAUGUCAAGCAGAGACGAAAGUCGGUCAUAGUGAUCCGGUGGUUCUUCGUGGAAGGGCCAUCGCUCAACGGAUAAAAGGUA